rnacentral:rRNA from 1 species
UACGUAGGGAGCAAGCGUUAUCCGGAUUUAUUGGGUGUAAAGGGUGCGUAGACGGAGAAGCAAGUUAGUUGUGAAAUCCCUCGGCUUAACUGAGGAACUGCAACUAAAACUACUUCCCUUGAGUACUGGAGAGGAAAGUGGAGUUCCUAGUGUAGCGGUGAAAUGCGUAGAUAUUAGGAGGAACACCAGUGGCGAAGGCGACUUUCUGGACAGUAACUGACGUUGAGGCACGAAAGUGUGGGGAGCAAACAGG